GAUGAACGCUAGCUACAGGCUUAACACAUGCAAGUCGCGGGGCAGCAUGGGGGUUGCUUGCAAUCCCCGAUGGCGACCGGCGCACGGGUGAGUAACGCGUAUCCAACCUGCCCUUCACCACGGGAUAACCCGGCGAAAGUCGGACUAAUACCGUAUGUUGUCCAUUGACGGCAUCCGAUUUGGACGAAAGGUUUGGCGGUGAAGGAUGGGGAUGCGUCCGAUUAGCUGGACGGCGGGGUGACGGCCCACCGUGGCGACGAUCGGUAGGGGUUCUGAGAGGAAGGUCCCCCACACUGGAACUGAGACACGGUCCAGACUCCUACGGGAGGCAGCAGUGAGGAAUAUUGGUCAAUGGGCGUAAGCCUGAACCAGCCAAGUAGCGUGCAGGAUGACGGCCCUAUGGGUUGUAAACUGCUUUUAUGCGGGGAUAAAGUGGCCCACGUGUGGGUUUUUGCAGGUACCGCAUGAAUAAGGACCGGCUAAUUCCGUGC
rnacentral:rRNA from 1 species